AUGUGCACUGCGAAGUCACAAGGCGGUUUGGGGUUCCGGGACUUGGAAAUUUUUAAUGAUGCGUUGUUAGGCAAGCAAGCCUGGAGGCUACUUGAGAAUCCAAAUAGUCUUUGUGCAAGAGUGCUUAAAGCACGGUAUUUCCCUAAUGAGGGGUUUCUGACGGCGGGUUGCCCUGCAAGUGCUUCUAAGACUUGGAAAGCAAUUAUCCAAGGAAGAGAUAUGUUGAAGACAUGA
rnacentral:rRNA from 1 species